AGAAUCAACGCUGGCGGCGUGCCUAACACAUGCAAGUCGAGCGCGAAAGGGGAGCAAUCCCUGAGUAGAGUGGCAAACGGGUGAGUAACACGUGGGUGACCUGCCUUCGAGUGGGGGAUAACGUUCCGAAAGGAACGCUAAUACCGCAUGACAUCCUGCUUUUAGGAAAGCGGAGAUCAAAGCUGGGGAUUCGCAAGAACCUAGCGCUUGAAGACGGGGCCCGCGCCUGAUUAGCUAGUUGGUGAGGUAACGGCUCACCGAAGGCUACGAUCAGUACUCCGGCCUGAGGCGGGCGUACGGACACGGACGUCGGACUAGAC
rnacentral:rRNA from 1 species